GGAGUGGGGCUCAGUUGCUAGAGUGUCCGCUUAGCGUGCAUGAAGCCCUAGGUUCAAUCCCCAGCACUGCA
rnacentral:tRNA from 1 species